rnacentral:rRNA from 1 species
UACAGAGGUCUCAAGCGUUGUUCGGAUUCAUUGGGCGUAAAGGGUGCGUAGGUGGCGCGGUAAGUCGGGUGUGAAAUUUCGGAGCUUAACUCCGAAACUGCAUUCGAUACUGCCGUGCUUGAGGACUGGAGAGGAGACUGGAAUUUACGGUGUAGCAGUGAAAUGCGUAGAGAUCGUAAGGAAGACCAGUGGCGAAGGCGGGUCUCUGGACAGUUCCUGACGCUGAGGCGCGAAGGCCAGGGGAGCAAACGGG